AGAGGUAUAGUUCAGAUGGUAGAACAUCGGUCUCCAAAACCGAGUGUCGCGAGUUCGAGUCUUGUUACCUCUGCCA
rnacentral:tRNA from 1 species